AGUCAUGUGGGAUCUUAGCUUCCGGACCAAGGAUGAAACCCGCACCUCCUGCAUUGGAAGCAUGAAUCUUAACCACUGGACCACCAGAAAAGUCCCUGGGUUCUAGCUUUGACUCCGUCACUCAUUGUGUAACGUUUGACGUGGACACAGAUGCACUCAGUCAAGAGACCUGCCCAAGGAUGCCAUCCGGAGCUGAAAUGGAGCCCAGGGGAGCUCACUAAGGAAUCUUGAGAGGCUUUGAUGAAGUGAUCACCACUGACCAGAAGAAGAGAGCAACGUCACUGAGAGCAAAUGACUGCAACCGCUUUUGCCUUCUAAGGGAGCAGCAGAAUUUAUAUCACAGACAGCAUUAUCCACAACAGCCAAAAGGCAAAAGGACCCGAAUGUUCAUCGGUGGAUGGAUCGAUAAACACAAUGGAGUAUUACAUACAAUGAAAUAUUAUUCAACCUGAAAAAGGAAGGAUAUUCUGGGACUUGCUACAACAUGGAUGAAUCUUGAGGACACUAUGAUUGCAGAGCUGCUGAGAAAGAUCUCAUCUGUUCACAGUCUACCCUCAAAAUACACAGCUCCACCUCACAUCAUCAGGGAUUAGAUCCCAGAGAUGGGGGGACCCUUGCUCUAGAGCACUUCGAUGCUGCAGGGCUGAGAACAGGGCAUUGACAAGCCCCAUACCCAUCUGCCUACAGGAAAAGGAAUCAACACAAUAGAGACUUUUAAAAAUACUUUUGACUGUGACCAUGGUAAGAAACUCAUUUUUAUAUCGUAACCCAAGUCACACACACACACACACACACACGUAUGCAUGUACUUAUGUGUGUACAUGAAACUGAAGCAGUUCUUGUCCUUGUUGUAUAUGACACAUACUGAUAGUUUCAUCCUACUUUUUGUCUUAAUUUAGUCAUUAUCAAAUUCAAACUAUUACAUUGAUUUUAUAAGCUACUGUGGGUUAUAUUACACAGCUGCUGGGAAGAGGUCAACAGGGCCUCUAGUGGGCCAGGCCUGCCUUUGCCAGAGUGGGCCAGGCCGGGCCCCAUUGCAUCUGUCCCUGACCUUCCUUCCCUCUCCCCCAGGUCCCCAGUUGGCCAGGCACAAGGGCCCUGAAGGCUGAUACCAAUUUAGAAACAGAACUUCUCUUUCCCCUUCUGUGCCCCACCCCAGGCUGACCCCUGAACUCACCAAGGAAAGUGGCCGCUAUCCUUUGCGGGUGAGUAGCCCUUGCUGCCCGGGCAGGAAAGAGCCAAAGGUCAUGACAGCGGGAAGCCUUGUCAGUUCUGUGGGUAAGCCUGUCGCUUUGUGACUGCAUCAGCCAGUGGUUGCUAGGUUACCCCUGCCCUACAACUCCAGAACCACUCCCCAGCACCCCUCUCCUCACCCCCAGCCAGCUCCUCUUACCCUUCCUGGAGGGGCAGAAGGGCUCACCGAGCACCCCCUGCUUGCCUGCCCUCCAGGCUCCUUCUCUCUCUCCCAUUCAGCACUUUCAAUGGGGCCCAAGGGAGAAAAUGAGAAUCAGGGGCUGGUUGCAGCCAGUGUGCAGCAGGCAGAAAGAGAAAAACUGGCAAAAAGAUUUGGUUGGGCUGGGUGCCAGCUCUGUCGGCAAUGACCGGGCUGUCUGCCACUGUGGAGGAGUCUGUCCCCCUGCGCCCUAUUUCUAGGGGUUGAUUCUCAGAGAGCUGUCUCUUAGAUGGAGAGGAGGUGGCCGCCAACUGGAUCCAAAGUCUUCCUGCGGCCCUACUCCAGGCAGGAGAGCUGGGUGGAAGGGCCCUGGGCUGUCAGUGGCAGGGGUCUCGAUGGGAUUCUGACCCGCCCUAGGUGUGCUGCCAGAGGUAUGGGACAGUGGCAAGAAUACUUGGUUCCAAUUCCAGCUCUACUUCCUAGCUAUGUGGCCUCAGAUAAUUUACCUGAUGUCUCUGAGCCUCAGUUCUCAUGUCUCUGAAAUGGGAGAUAAUCCUCGCGCUCAUUCUCAUGGGAUUUUUGAGAUUGCCUAAUGUAAAGCCUUUGACUGUGUGGAUCCCAACAAACUGGAAAAUUCUUAAAGAGAUGGGAAUACCAGGCCACCUGACCUGCCUCCUGAGAAAUCUGUGUGAAGUUCAA